rnacentral:rRNA from 1 species
CCUACGGGUGGCUGCAGUGGGGAAUUUUGCGCAAUGGGGGAAACCCUGACGCAGCAACGCCGCGUGAGCGAUGAAGGCCUUCGGGUCGUAAAGCUCUGUCUUAGGGGAAGAAACCUUAAAGGCUAAUACCCUUUAAGCUGACGGUACCCUAAAAGGAAGCCCCGGCUAACUACGUGCCAGCAGCCGCGGUAACACGUAGGGGGCAAGCGUUGUCCGGAAUUAUUGGGCGUAAAGGGCGUGUAGGCGGCCGGCUAAGUCGGUGGUGUAAGGCUUCGGCUCAACCGGAGGAUUGCCAUUGAAACUGGUCGGCUUGAGGGCAGCAGAGGUAAGCGGAAUUCCUGGUGUAGCGGUGAAAUGCGUAGAUAUCAGGAGGAACACCAGUGGCGAAGGCGGCUUACUGGGCUGGCCCUGACGCUGAGGCGCGAAAGCGUGGGGAGCAAACAGGAUUAGAUACCCCGGUAGUCCC